GUCUUUCCAUUUAACUUUAUUUUGGCUUCACUUGGAUUAUAUCGACUCUUCUUUGGCUUCUCUCAUCUCACUCUUCUUGUUCUUAUCGGUACCAGGCAGACAGGUCUUUCAGAAACCUGGCAGAUGGAGGUUCACUGAUCGAAAGGUUAACACCCGAGUUAUAUCAGAAAAGCUCCACCGUCCGCAAAUUUCCGUUUUCACCUUCUCUCUCCUCACUUUUCCUGUUCUUAUCUCUACACUUUUGGUGAAUUUUCCAGUCCGGAUCUUUGUUUUCCUGAACAACCUCGAAUUACUAUCUUGAUGUCAAAAUUGACGAAGCGGUGAUUUUUUCCGGGGUUGGAUGCGUCUUGAUAUUUUUUAUAGGAUCUGCUCACUGAUAACAAAGCAAAGUUUGAUUGUUAUUCAAAUGACUGAGAAGAUAGCAUGAGGAUUUAUCUCUUCCUGUACUCUUAUGACGUGGGCAAUCCAAAAAUCUAGAGGAGAACGUGUUCCUUGGGCUACCUCCCAGAUAAAAGCUUAUUUCGGUUUAUCAGGCGGAAUCCAUACGGACUUUCUCUCAUACACUGCUCCAAUUUUUAUGGUAUACAACCUCUAAUUUGGAGUCCAGAUCAUGUUUUUCCAGUUAGAAAACGAACUGGUUAAGAUUCAUAUCAUUUGCCGUAUAAAGGGUGAUGUCGUGUUGGAAUGUAUUAUCUUGCACGAUGACCGGGAAGAGAUGAUGUUUCGAACCAUGUUUAACACAUCUUUUAUUAGGUCAAAACAUUCAGAUACUUGACCGUGAUAAAAUUGACACACUGGGGGAUGCUAAUGAUCAAUUUCCAGAAGACUUCAAAGAAAAGGGAUGCAUGUUGCUAAAUCCGUAGCCCCAUUUGAUUUAUCCUAUUUUAAGGAGAAGGAUGGCCAUCCACUGGACGCAUUUGCUAAAGCUCAAAAGGGUGAUGCUGCUGGAUAUAUGCUCCACCAACCAGCUGCGACAAAUUUUAUCCUGGAAAUAUUAGAAUCUUCGCCCGAGACUACAGAUACUGGCAUGCCACACUAGCAUGCUUAUGAUCAAUCAGCUUCUGAGAAGCCUCAAGAGGCAAAAAUUUGCAGUAUCGGAAAUAAUGCCAAGGGAUUGAGUCAAUCUAUCAUCCACCAAACGGGCCUCUGCAGUAUACCACAUCAACAUACCCGACAGGUGAUACCCGACAUGUCCGGUGAAUGCAGAGAAAUCUAGCAGUUACACCAGUUAAAAGUCUGAAAUUGGCCAUGGUAAUAGUUAUGGAGCUAUUAUCCAUAAACCAUGUAUAUAUAUUAUUUAAAAAAAUAAUUAUCUAUCUUUGGUCAUGUGAAAUGUAUGUAUGGUCUUAUAUGCAUUAGGUUUGAGAAUAAUUGAAGCAAGAUGCAUUUUUACUGCCGGAGCCUGGAUGUUAAUCUAAAUUUUCAUGUUUCAUGUUGGGCCCGUGCUGCGCACGGAAGAUUACUAAUAUAUAUAUAGAAAUAGGAGUUGAAGUGUACGAACAUUGGGACGAACACUGGCGAAAUGGUAAUUAUAGAUGUUUGUCAUGGGCA